rnacentral:lncRNA from 1 species
GCCGCUCCCCCGCCGCGCGAGAUUCCCGGGUGGAUGCUGUACAGAUCCUCCAUAUCCAAAUUCCAAUCCCCUCCUCCCCCACCUCACCCGUACCCUCACCUCACCUCUAGCUAGCCACCUACCUAGCCAAGAAGCUUAGCUUAGCUAAGCUAGCUAGCUACCUCCUCCUCCUCCUCAUCUACUGUACAUCUCCACACAUACUAACACCAAAGCACCAGCAGUUUGAAAGGGAGCACCAGUCCCAGCUUUCCAAGAACAAGAAGAAGAGAAAAGCAAAGCUACACCAUGCAGGAAGAGGGAAGAAGAAGAUGAUUACAAUCUACGGGUGUGUGGGGAAUUUGGCAGCGGAUUGCACUGCAGCCAGCUCUGCUGCUGCUGCUGCUGCUGCUGCUCAGAUCAGAAGAAGAAGAAGAAGGAGCAGCAGCUGCUUCUGCAGGGUGCACUUGUGGGUAGCAGCGGGAUACAUGGGUGUGCGGCUGCUUGCUUUGCUUUGGGAGGAUGGAUGGAGAGUCACCUGCUGCCUGCUGCAGGCAGGAGAAGAGAGAUCAGACAGACAUGGCAACAAAGAUCGGGAGAAAGGAAGGAAUAGUUUGCUUAGCUUCUUUUUUUUUUCUCUUUGUUUCCUCUAUUUAAAAGCAAGUGGUAUUAGACUAGAGUAAGCAGGUUUCUUUUUUUCUUUUGUUUCAGAAUUUUUUUUU